CACAGCGUUAUGGCAACUGAUUCCAGUCACAGGACCCUGAUGCCCAUCAAACAUUUCACCAAUACCAGCCUUACUAUAUGGAAUGAGUUAAGCAAGUGUGUGCAGUAGCAGACAGAGGUGUUCUUUGCACUGGGGUUCUCCUGUGACUUCGAUUGUCCCACAGUGCUAUCUGUCCAGAGUAGGUGCCUCCAAUCACCAGACGUGCCACAUCUAUUAAAAUAAAUGGGAGAAAUUGGAAUGUCCAAGAGCCAAUGGAAGUUCAAAAGGAAGACCUGCCUUACAGUCGAUAGGAGCUGUACUUGUAUGCCACCCAGCCUACCUUGAGAGCUUUCCAAAGAUGGCUGCCAAGUGGACUGACUUGCCUUGAAAGGGACUUUGCUAAUACACAGAGUGGGGUUCAAAAGUCUGAGUCUGAAAAUGCUUCUUUUUUGCAUUUUUCUAAUUAAAUACAUUUUACAAAUUAUAUUAUGAGCAUAACAAUUUGAGUGAAAUGGUUCAUUGUAAAAUUAACAUACAUUUCAGAAUUUCUUAGUAUUUGGUAAAUCCCACUUUUGCUUUAAUGACAGCAUGCACUCGAGCUGGCAUGGACUUCAUAAUGAUCUAUGUUAUUUCAGCAUGACAAGAAUGAAAUCUGAACUUUUAUACAAUGAGAGUUAACAUGGGCAGUCUCAAAAAUGUGCUUUUUUGAUUUAGUGAUCUAGAAACAGAGCAGAAUCUUAAAUAUUUCUUAAAUAUAUUAAUUUUAUGUCAUAACAUUUCUUUAAAAUGUGUCAAAAUCCAAAAAGUAUCUCCAGGUUUCAGUUACAUUUUAAAUCCCAGAUUUUUAAUGUGGACUCUUUUAACCACACUGUCUGCUCUAGGCAUGCUCACAUUAGAAUAUCAGUUUAUGUUAUUAAUGUU